UACGGGGGGGGCUAGCGUUGUUCGGAAUUACUGGGCGUAAAGCGCACGUAGGCGGCUUUGUAAGUUAGAGGUGAAAGCCCAGGGCUCAACCCUGGAAUUGCCUUUAAGACUGCAUCGCUUGAACAUCGGAGAGGUAAGUGGAAUUCCGAGUGUAGAGGUGAAAUUCGUAGAUAUUCGGAAGAACACCAGUGGCGAAGGCGGCUCACUGGACUGGUAUUGACGCUGAGGUGCGAAAGCGUGGGGAGCAAACAGG
rnacentral:rRNA from 1 species